UGUCUAAUGUCGGCCUGCGAAAGGCACAGGCCGAUUCACAGACAGUGAAUGCAGUGUUGCCAAAUCGCUGAGGCGGGAACGUUUGCAGUUUACCUGUGAUUUUACUCAUAAACGUUAGAGGUGUCAACGUGCAGGCCGUAUCUCAAUUUAUAUGAUUUUAAAUGCCAAGUUGGGCUCAUAUAUAAGUCCAACAAUUUUCCAAGAGGGAGCCAGGAAGUUUUACAGCAAAACUACUAACAUAACCGCAAGACUGAGAAAUGCUUUCGCUGAUCCGACCGCUCCGAUAAAGUGUGGAAGAAAUAAUCUUUCAAUCAUGCGGUAGACCAGUGGUGUAUUGCGACCAGAAAACAUUAGAUAAUACAUUGUUCUGCUGCAGUCAAACGGCAAAAGACAUUACACCAGAAAAAAUCAUGGAAAAUGAAGUAUAUGACAAUUAUAUUUGCGUCGGUUCACAAA